rnacentral:rRNA from 1 species
UAGGGAAUCUUCCGCAAUGGGCGAAAGCCUGACGGAGCAACGCCGCGUGAGUGAUGAAGGUCUUCGGAUCGUAAAACUCUGUUAUUAGGGAAGAACAAAUGUGUAAGUAACUAUGCACGUCUUGACGGUACCUAAUCAGAAAGCCACGGCUAACUACGUGCCAGCAGCCGCGGUAAUACGUAGGUGGCAAGCGUUAUCCGGAAUUAUUGGGCGUAAAGCGCGCGUAGGCGGUUUUUUAAGUCUGAUGUGAAAGCCCACGGCUCAACCGUGGAGGGUGAUUGGAAACUGGAAAACUUGAGUGCAGAAGAGGAAAGUGGAAUUCCAUGUGUAGCGGUGAAAUGCGCAGAGAUAUGGAGGAACACCAGUGGCGAAGGCGACUUUCUGGUCUGUAACUGACGCUGAUGUGCGAAAGCGGGGGGAUCAAACAGG